UCAUGGAUUUAAAAAAUCCACUGAAUAUAUAAAAUUGAGCUAUGACUUAGCAAGAGAUUUUGUUCUGAUGUAAUGAUGCUAAUUUUAAACUUUAAACAGCUUGAAAAGUGAGAUGAAUGUCUGAAAUGAAAAUCUCAACUGAUUCAAAGAUAAAGAAUAUAAAACCAGUAGUUUUAGGAAGGAGCCACAUUAGCCUUCCUCCCUGCAGACCAACUUCCAUUCCAAGAAUAAUUUUCAUCUCUGUCAAAAGCAGGUGGUAAAUAUCAUUCCACGAUCCCACCCCUGUGUUGGCGAGAGGGAAGCAAGGGAGAAGGGAGAGGGAGAGAGACUCUUAAGAAGGCUCCAUGACCAGCACCGAGCCCAAUGUAGGGCUUGAUCUCACAACCCUGAGACCAUGACCUAAGCUAAAAUCAAGAGUUGGAUGCUUAACCCACAAAGCUAUCCAGGCGCCCCAGCCCGUGUCUCCUUCUUCAGGAAGGGAGUCCAUAGAGGCAAAAUUUUUCUCUAAAAGCCUUAAGAAUGUCAAGCAUGACACCUACAAAUCACUGUGGGGCUAAGAUUUCAAACCUUGUACUUGCUUUGCCAAGAAAAUUUUUUUUUAAAGAUUUUUAUUUAUUUAUUUGACAGACAGAUCACAAGUAGGCAGAGAGGCAGCCAGAGAGAGAGGAGGAAGCAGGAUCCCUGCUGAGCAGAGAGCCCGAUGCAGGGCUCGAUCCCAGGACCCUGGGAUCAUGAUCUGAGCUGCAGGCAGAGGCUUUAACCCACUGAGCCACCCAGGCGCCCACUUGUACUUGUUUAAUAAGCCAUCUCCUGUCUGUCAUUAUGGAGAUGAGUGACAGAAGGGCUUCAGCGAUCAAUGCCCUUGAUGAUACAUGGAUAGGGACAUAAUCUAUAUAAAGCUCCAAGUAACCUCAGUUAAAGACAGAACUAGAGAAAUGGUCUAGUGAGCCCAUAUCGUAGCAUAAGAAAAUUUCAACAGCCCUAAGGCAGGAUGGUGAAAUUAUACUGCUGACCCUCCCAAGUGAAGUCAAACAAACGAUAGUCUAGAUGGAGGGGACUACAAAGGCAGGCAAGGUCAUGACAUUCAUUGGACAUACUGCCAUUUACUCAAUAAUGAAGACCACAUCAAGGACCAAAUGAAAUAAAUGGGAAGCUAUCUUAUUCGGCUAUCUCCAGUCCUCAGUAAAACUUCAGAAGCAUGAUUUAUUCUGAGGUGAUAUACUGGAGAUUUUAAGGGUGACAUAUACUAGCAAUGAGCAAUUAGAGAACAAAAAG